ensembl:lncRNA
UUUAGAUGCAACCCCAACUACAAACGUUCUUGGCAGCAGAUAAAGACAAAAUAUCAAAAUAUAAUUCAAAGUGGGUGAAGCAAAUGAUGAAGAGACCCUCUCUGCCUGUUCCGAAACCGUUGCUGAGCUUUUCUCCAACAACCAACCCAGAAAAUGUGAAAGAAGUGGCGAGAUUCCGGAUGUUCUUCUCAUAACAUGACAAAUGUCAACAUGGAUGUGUGUUGGCAAUAAGAUUCAUAAGAAUUAUGUAAGAGAAAGCAGGAGUUAAUAAUGGGCCGCAGCAUGUGACUGUAUGCCAGCGCUUCAGUCGAGUGUGUAAAUGGCACACACUGACAAACACACACUGUACAAGAAAAUGACAAGAAAAGUGUCAGGAAUAAAAAGAAGCCUGCACAAAACUUCCUCAGGAAUAUAACUUGUGGAUUAGAGGAGCAAAACUAAACUGUGAGAGAGAGAAA